ACAGACAAUAUUAUACACGUUUCUGUACAACUUGACAUCACCGAUUUAAACUCUGAAAGUGACAAGGACAGGGAAAUUGAGUUUUCACUUUAUCUUCGAAUGAAUUGGACUGACAGACGGUUAGAUUUUACUGAAAACAAAACCACAUAUGAUAUUAUUCCAUUGGGAGAUGAUAUAGUUAAUAGCCUUUGGAUACCAGACCUAUACUUUAUAGAAGAACGAAAUUCACUAUUGCAUGGGCUAUUAACAAGCAAUCAGUUGGCAUUCAUCCAUAAAAAUGGAGACGUAUUCUACAGUGGCAGGUUUAAUAUUAAAGCACACUGUGUAAUGAGUUUCAAAAAAUACCCAUUUGACGAGCAAUCCUGCGAAAUUUCCAUUCAAAGUU